rnacentral:rRNA from 1 species
CGAGGAUCUUCGGCAAUGGGCGCAAGCCUGACCGAGCGACGCCGCGUGAGCGAUGAAGGCCUUCGGGUCGUAAAGCUCUGUCGUGGGGGAGACAAGCCGCAAGGCUUGAUCGACCCCAGGAGGAAGCACGGGCUAAGUUCGUGCCAGCAGCCGCGGUAAGACGAACCGUGCGAACGUUAUUCGGAAUCACUGGGCUUAAAGGGCGCGUAGGCGGGUCCGUAAGUCAGGGGUGAAAGCCCACGGCCCAACCGUGGAAGUGCCUUUGAUACUGCGGGCCUCGAGGGGGAUAGGGGCGUGCGGAACUCAGGGUGGGGCGGUGAAAUGCGUAGAUAUCCUGAGGAACACCGGUGGCGAAAGCGGCGCGCUGGAUCCCUUCUGACGCUGAGGCGCGAAAGCCAGGGGAGCAAA